rnacentral:rRNA from 1 species
UACGUAGGGGGCAGGCGUUGUCCGGAAUCAUUGGGCGUAAAGCGCGUGUAGGCGGCUCGGUAAGUCUGCUCUGAAAGCCCGGGGCUCAACCCUGGGAGGCGGGUGGAUACUGCUGAGCUCGAGUCCGGAAGAGGCGAGUGGAAUUCCUGGUGUAGCGGUGAAAUGCGCAGAUAUCAGGAGGAACACCAAUGGCGAAGGCAGCUCGCUGGGACGGUACUGACGCUGAGACGCGAAAGCGUGGGGAGCAAACAGG